GGUGUUCAUUCGGAGCGGACUCGAUCUUCAUCGCUGUUUUACUUCGUGAAGUACCCUGUUCUUCUUUAUUGCAGUUGUACUAUUUCUUUCACUCUUGUUGUAUUUAUCUUGCACUGGAUUACUGUAUUUUUGCUUUGAAGUGCUGAAAUUUGUGGAACCAAUUUGUAGUUUGUGGGAGGAAUAAGGGGAUAUUUUUGAAGUGUGUUUUCAGUGCAGGUGAAUUUGUGGUAAGUAAAUCCCUUAGGGGAGGUGCUGCCGGAUUUUCCGUUGGAAGGUUCGGUGGUAUUUCCCUGGGAUCAGGGCUGUCUAGGGUUCCGGGGAAGGAAUUCUGGACGGGUCCUGACAGAGGAGAGAGAGAGAGAGAGAGAGAAACGACCGGCCGCCGGAAAUCGUCCAAUUUUUCCGGCCGAUUCUUGCUACACUCGCCGGCCAGACAGGAGCGCCAUCCCAUUUCUGGUCAAACCCUGAAAUUUCACGAUCGACGGUCGCCGGAUGCUCCCGGAUCGAGGCGGCGAAGCUCGGCAGUGAUUUUUCCCUCCACCGCCGGCCACUGCCAUUUGACCCCUUUUCGGUCAUUUUCAGGCCACACGCGCCAGCCACCCCUCACCACCUCCUCAUUUCCGGCUAGCCCACCAAAUUUCACGGCCACCGGACCUCCGACGCAUCCGGCCUCUCCGCGAUCUCUCCGCCGUCCGGCCUCCGUUUGCCUCACCGCCGGUCCCGUUGGAAUCCUCUCCCCUCGAUCUAUAAAACCGCCAAAAAUCCCAGCCAACGGCCACCGCACGCGCCGUCGCAGGUGACGGUUGCCGGUGACCGCGGCUGCUCGCCGGACGUCAUUGUUCCGGCGAGUACCAGUUGCACCGCCGGUCCUUGUCCACUAAUUCCGACUUCCUGAAUCCAAAUUCGACAUCCUUUUCCGCCAAUUCGCGACGGUUUGGGAGAAUUGAGGAGUCGAAUCUCGAAAGCUUUCCGGUGAGAUUCCGACUACCUCGGGUCCAAUCUCUGGAAAGUAAGAUCGAAUCCGUGAUCCUCAUCACUCAAGCUUCGAUUCGGUGCGCGUACGAGUAGUGGAGUUGAUCCUGAGGAGGAUCUUAGCUGAUAUACGCGCUUAAGCGCGCAAGUAUUAUGUCUCCCGUGAGUUGCCAUUGGACCGUGGGCAGGCAAGUUUGAUAUUGGCCACAGCCACCCCCCUCCUUGGCCGGGAUGACGGUUUCAGCAGCGGUACUGUCGGGACGCCGAAGUGCCGUUUGCAAGUUUCUCUCUUUAAUCUCCCCGCCAGUCGAUGCUCAGGACGCUGGAUAUCGGAGGGCAUCAUCGGUAUAUGUUGUGGUGCGUCAAGUGUGCAAGGGUGGUAGAUGUUCUUCCGGAGCGAACCAAUUCUCCGCCGCUAUCGUGUUUCGAGAAGUACUUUUGUACUCCUUCAUUUCAGCUGUAUUAUUUCUUUUAUCUUUGUUGUAUUUUCUGUUGAUUAGCACUUCAUAAAGCUCUGUAUACUAUUUGGACACUUAUGUUUUAUUUAUGCAUUGGGUUGCUGAUAUUGUUGUGAAGUGCUGUAAAUUGUGGAAUCAUUUGUAGUUUUGCGGGAGGAAUAAGGGGAUGAAUAUAGAAGUGUGUUUUCAGUCCAGGUAAUUUUUGGUAAGUCCUA